GCCAAAUGAUGCGAAACAAAUUAUUACUGAGGUUUUCUUUGAGGACUUACAAAAUUGAGCUUUUUAAAACUGUUGGUU
rnacentral:snoRNA from 1 species